rnacentral:rRNA from 1 species
GACUGAAUAUGGGGGGACCAUCCUCCAAGGCUAAAUACUCCCAGUUGACCGAUAGUGAACCAGUACCGUGAGGGAAAGGUGAAAAGCACCCCGACGAGGGGAGUGAAACAGCACCUGAAACCGGAUGCUUACAAACAGUAGGAGCCCAAGGUUCGUCCUGGGUGACUGCGUACCUUUUGUAUAAUGGGUCAGCGACUUAAAGUUACGAGCAAGCUUAAGCCGAUAGGUGGAGGCGUAGCGAAAGCGAGUCUGAACAGGGCGUUCAGUUCGUGGCUUUAGACCCGAAACCGAGUGAUCUAGCCAUGUGCAGGAUGAAGGUGGGGUAACACCCACUGGAGGUCCGAACCAGUGCCCGUUGAAAAGGUCUUGGAUGACGUGUGGCUAGGGGUGAAAGGCCAAUCAAACUCGGAAAUAGCUGGUUCUCCGCGAAAGCUAUUUAGGUAGCGCCUCGAGUGAAUACCGUGCGGGGUAGAGCACUGGAUGGGCUAGGGGGUCGCGAUAUCUACCAAACC